AGGGGUUUAGCUCAGUUGGUAGAGCGACGGUCUCCAAAACCGUAGGUCGUGGGUUCGAACCCCCCAACCCCUGCCA
rnacentral:tRNA from 1 species